rnacentral:rRNA from 1 species
CCUACGUGCGGCAGCAGUGGGGAAUAUUGGACAAUGGGCGAAAGCCUGAUCCAGCCAUGCCGCGUGUGUGAAGAAGGCCUUCGGGUUGUAAAGCACUUUCAGUGGGGAAGAAAGCCUUGGGGCUAAUACCCUCGAGGAAGGACAUCACCCACAGAAGAAGCACCGGCUAACUCCGUGCCAGCAGCCGCGGUAAUACGGAGGGUGCGAGCGUUAAUCGGAAUUACUGGGCGUAAAGCGCGCGUAGGCGGUCUGAUAAGCCGGUUGUGAAAGCCCCGGGCUCAACCUGGGAACGGCAUCCGGAACUGUCAGGCUAGAGUGCAGGAGAGGAAGGUAGAAUUCCCGGUGUAGCGGUGAAAUGCGUAGAGAUCGGGAGGAAUACCAGUGGCGAAGGCGGUCUUCUGGACUGACACUGACGCUGAGGUGCGAAAGCGUGGGUAGCAAACAGGAUUAGAUACCCCUGUAGUC